UAGUAGAAUUAUUCUCAGAGCUGGGGAAGAAAAUGUAGCAUAUGGAUGGAAUCUGCCAAUGAUGACAUCAUACAGAGAGGUCUUUGAGGGAUCGGUGAUGAAUGUGCUCUCUUGCUUGGGUUGGAGCCUUUAGAGGUAAAAUGCCCUGUUGGCAGGGCAGUGAGAGAAAAUCUACCCUGCUGCUGACCGUGAUCCGAGCUCCUGAUUAAAAAAGGAACAGCAGCCCCGGUAUCAUUGCUCAGCUCUCACUUGAGCCAGCCCCAACAUUGCCAACCAUGCAUCUAUGCAGAAAUAUAGCAGCAGGGAAAAUCGUCUGACUCCAUGCCGCUCUGCAGUGAGUGCAGUGGCAGGGGAGUAGAAGCACCCAGUCCUUCACCAGCUGGACCAGUCAAUACAAGGAGAGGCUGAAAGCCCCAGGACAGCAUUAUGUGCAUGGUACGGAAAAUGUUGGUCCCCAGGCUGGAUGGAGGUUGCCCAAUGUGCCUCCGGGGAAGGGAACCACUGAUUCAGCCCCCUGCUUGGAAACUCCACCAUCGCUGAAUAAAGACCACUAUUGAAUCAACAGGCCUGAGUAUCAUCAUGCUUAGCUCCUAAGAUCCUGUUAGCAUCUGAAACUGAAACCUUGAAAGCAUGUUGUCUUGUGAGUUCUGCCUUUCUUGAAAUUUUGUUUGUUUGUUUGUUUUAAUUCAUCAGAGGAAUUGUAGAUGCUUUGCUUGCUCAAGGCUCAUUGUAGUCACCUCUGGGGAAUGUCUUUAUCUUCAGUUUAAUUUUCUGGCAUUUCCCAGGUAUUGCUUAUUUCUAUUCAUCAACCGACCUCUGUUGAAAUGAUAGGUGGAAAAAGUAAUUUCAUGAAAUCAUGAGUUUAUUUGAUGGUAGAAAGAACGCAUGUGAGCUUUGAUCACUGUGUGAGAAUCUGUCUUACGUAUCGUCUGCCUCUGUGGACUAUGUUUUACCCAUAUUCCCUGGGGGUAGUGGAAGGCACAUGUAGCACUGUCACAACAGUUGGUCCCACUCUGCAAGAACUACUGAAAAAUAAUAUUUGCUUCUCUGGCACGGGAGACUCUUGUGCACAUCUCACUAGCUAAGUGAAUGACUUCAGUUCCAGCAAACAGGGCAAUUUGAUGAACAUUUUUUUCCCCACUUCCAGUGAAUGGAGAGGUAUAUACUGGAGUUUCCAAGCUGUGUUAGAGCCAAACAAGCUCCUAGAUUCAUAGUGAAACUUAGCUGGAGCUGGCAAGCUGUGUCUUCCAUAGCCAGUAAGAAGAAUCACCACAGAUCCUUCUGAAAUCCCCUAAAACCCACAGGUAGGAAGUGGAGAGGUUUCCAGCCUCUACACCUCCUCCAGCCCGAGCCUGCCCUCUCUUUAAAGGGACAAAGGACCACAAGCUCCAUUCCUACUCCUUUUUUUUUUUCAGUUGGGUUAAAAACUUGGGGUGCUUUACCCACACAGUUGCCUACUCUGGAGCAAGUCAUCUACCCAAGUCCCUUCCAUUGCUGGCUGUGGCCAUGAGCUGGUUUGGGGUAAGGAAAUGCAACAUCUCUUGUCUUUAACUUGUGAUUCAGGGUAACGUUUGUUCAUGAAUUUUUGUCCCAUGUCAUUGAGUCCUUGUUUUCAUUUUAGGGUGUUUUUUUUUUUUCCUUUUUUUUUUUCUUUCCAUUUUUGCAAAUGCUUCUCCUUUCCACUCAGUUAUUCAGUGGAGAAAGCUCAGAGACGCUUUCAGUUCCAUACACAGUGCCUGGAGCGUUUGGUGCCAACUGCUGUAACACAGCCUCAGAAGAGAUUUCUUGUGUCCUUGUGAGCUUUCCUCCAAAGACACGUUGCUGGGUAUUUGAAUGAAAAACAAAUGUAGUUUGGAAGGUCAUGACCAUACAGGUCUUUCAUCAGCAAUAUGACCUGAAUGAUCUGGCUUGACGUUAAAAAGCAAUAUUUAGCAUAGUUUUUUUUUUUUUUUUUUAACCUCUGGAAAAAAGAAAAGAUGCUUAAAUAUUUAUUCAAGUAAGAUAAAGCUCCAGGUGAUGAUAGGGUCCA